UUGUCUCAAAGAUUAAGCCAUGCAUGUCUCAGUACAAGCCAAAUUAAGGUGAAACCGCGAAAGGCUCAUUAAAUCAGUUAUGGUUCCUUAGAUCGUACCCACAUUUACUUGGAUAACUGUGGUAAUUCUAGAGCUAAUACAUGCAAACAGAGCUCCAACCGGAGGACGGAAGGAGUGCUUUUAUUAGAACAAAACCAAUCGGCGGGGUGUUCGCUUGGGUUCACGUUCGCCGCCCAACUUGGUGACUCUGAAUAACUUUACGCUGAUCGCACGGUCUUGCACCGGCGACGCAUCUUUCAAAUGUCUACCUUAUCAACUGUCGAU
rnacentral:rRNA from 1 species